UUGUCUCAUAUUGUCAUUAUGGCUUAUUGUAAGUGAAGGCAUAACGGCCAAGACAACUCAGUCAAUAUGGUGUUGAUUUUCAUAUUAUUGGCGAUCGUGGGAUCAAUUAACUUCACGCUUUGCUUGAAUGUACCAGCCGUUGAAGGUAAACAGAUGAUUCCAUACACGGAUAAUGUAUCAGUGGUUGAAGCGGAAGUCAAUAUAGAUGAAUCAAUGAAACAACCAGUAUCAUCACGAUGCCCUUGGUGGUGGUUCAGUAAUUAUCGUGGUACGCGCUAUUACAAUCAUGAUCAUGUUGUGAUUGAUUGCACCGGAUGUGCAAUAUUUUGCAGAGAUUUGGCUUGUCGCACGUCAAGUUGUACUGGAACGGUUUGUCGUUGCAGGCGCUGUUUGAGGAACUUUUAAUGACAAUGCCUCCGAAUGUUUAUAUGCAACGUAACAGAAUUCGAAUUAAAGUUUGACUCUUCAUUAA